rnacentral:rRNA from 1 species
UACGGGGGGGGCAAGCGUUGUUCGGAAUUACUGGGCGUAAAGGGCUCGUAGGCGGCCAACUAAGUCGGAUGUGAAAUCCCCAGGCUUAACCUGGGAACUGCAUCCGAUACUGGAUGGCUUGAAUCCGGGAGAGGGAUGCAGAAUUCCAGGUGUAGCGGUGAAAUGCGUAGAUAUCUGGAGGAAUACCGGUGGCGAAGGCGGCAUCCUGGACCGGCAUUGACGCUGAGGCACGAAAGCUAGGGGAGCAAACAGG